ensembl:lncRNA
AAAUUUUAAAAAUUUCAAACCGUAUACAGAUGUAUAUAUAAUACACUAACUAGUUGUUAAUUGCUACAAACAAUAUGAUUCCAAUGGAAUGAAAAAAUUAUAGCAGAAGAACUGUAUCCUAUAUAUAAUAUAUAUUAGUUUUAUUUUUUCCUCCACAAAAUACAAACAUGGCUAAAAUGAGGUAACUGUAAAUGUGCAAGUACCAAAGCAAAAAUCUCUGCCUAACACAGGACACGUGCCCCUGGCUCUGUGAGAGGGUCGGUUAUCUGUUAUCAAGCCAAGGCCCCUUAGAGGCCAGGGGAUGUAAGAACAGUGAACCACUAUCCCACCACAGCAAAAAACCAUCGGUAAACAAAUGGCAUCAACAAAGCAAUUAAUACACUACAAAUCCCCGAUAAUGUUUUUUUAGCUGCUUAUUGGAACACGUUUUUCCACCACACAAGCUGUGAGAUUAUUCAGUAAUUGUUUGCAACAGAAAGACUACAAGACUAUUUUAUAAUUCUUCUUAAAGAUUGUGAUUACUUAUGCCUUACAGGGAGGUUACAUAUUGUUUUUUACUUAAUAGGGUAGUUGUCAUCAAUAAAAUACAUACUCAAAAGUAAGAGUGCUAAAUUUAAGCGAAUUAGGUGAACAAUAAAUUGUAUAUUGAUACACUAAGUGAAGGAGCCUAUCGAAGGCAGGUGCAGUAUUACACUGAAAUUAGUAUGAAUAUAGAAGUAUGUUUUAAAUUGCUUAAACUAUACUGAUUUUUUAACUGACAAUGUUACAGGUAUCGGUAUAACAUGCUUUUAAGAAUACAUAGGAUCCAUGACAAACUAAUGCAUUCACGCCAGUGACAGUUAUACCUAAAGCAGAACAUCUAGCACCUUUUCACUAUGGCUUUUGAUAAACUACAGUAGUUUCAGAGCAUGUAUUUUUCAGUCAUUUGGGCAAAAACAUUAACACGGUGAAUUUAAGAGUUCAAAUCAUGGGUUUCAAGACCAUUUACAUUUUUUUCUCCUUAAAAAGAAAAGAUAACAAAAAAAGAAAGCGCAUAAAAUCUUGUAGUCAUUCAGUUCUAUUACAAAUGUGUGCAGUACGAUGCAUGGCAGUUAUCAGCUGAGCGUUUAAGAUCUGAAGCCAACUAGAACAAAAACUCUGUUGGGAUCUGGUCGACAAGCAUGCAUAUUGUGCCCCGUUUACAUUGUUCUUCACCAGAUUCUCUAGAUAUCUUCCUUCCGCUUAUUUUUAAAAUGAUGUCUUUUUUUCUUCUUUAAAAUCAUGCAACACCUCUGAAGUAGUUUUGGAAGUGAUUUAGGUAGGAUAAUGUGCACCACAGCACUUCUUUAAAAUGGCAUCACAACCGCUAUGUUUUAACAUGUGGUUAAAGUACAAGAACAGAAGGUAAACAGGUUUGAAUAACACAGUGUUAAUGAGUUGCAGUGUAUACAUUGCCUCUUUUCUGUGAAUAUUCAUAACGUCUUUAUUAUCUUUUCUUCUUGCAUGCCUGUCUUUAAAUGAGGUUAAUUGUACUAUUUUUGAAAGAAAAGAAUAUAGAAGAAUCGUUUACAUGACAAUAUGGUCAGAGAAACAAAAAAGUUUAAAUAUACCCUUUCAUGGCAUCUUUUCCAUUUGAAAUGGACUGUUUUCCUUUGUUUUUAUAUGUUGAGAGGCCCUGAGUAUUUUUUUUUACUUACAAUAUAAGCCAGCAAAUAGAUAUUAUGUACACAUAGGUUAAUUCUGAAAGCUGUGGGUUUAACGCAUUAAAUGGCUUCUUUUUACUUGGAAGGUGGCACACACACACAUUAAAAACGCAAUAGCGUGAUUAAAAAAAAAGAAAAGUAAAUGGCAUCCCUUUCCACAAACACCAUGGAUUUAAAAACCACCUGUUAGUGCAUCUUGGGACAGUUAUAGUGAAACAAUAGCCUACCACCCUCCCCCCAACCACAAUUCACCAAGUUUGGAAGUGAAUUCCCAGGCAGAGAACAAGAAGUCAAAACAGUGCAACUACUCAACAACUCCAGCUCAUAUUGUCAUGUUAAUUCAUCUCUGUCCACUCAGGGCUGUGACAGAUGUAGCAGAAGUGUCCCCAGUGACUUCUACUACGAAAGGGUUUUCAACAUUCUUUAGUCUUCAAAACAAGCCAUUCUAUCGAAGAGCAUUCACGCCAAAAGCUACACUUACUAUUUACUGUGACCGUUGCCAGGGGCUAUACCUGACCGAGUUUGCUGGAAUUAAAGAAUUAAAAACACCAUACACAAAAAACGAUGUUAGUGCUUCAACUGAUUCCUUCGAUGCAUUUUUUUCUAUACUGGACUAAAACCAAUAAAUAAACUUAAAAAAC